rnacentral:tRNA from 1 species
GGCCCUAUGGAGAAGCGGCUUAACUCAUGUCCCUCUCAAGGAUACAUUCAAGGGUUCGAAUCCCUUUAGGGUCACCA